GAUGAACGCUGGCGGCGUGCCUAAUACAUGCAAGUCGAGCGAACAGACGAGGAGCUUGCUCCUCUGACGUUAGCGGCGGACGGGUGAGUAACACGUGGAUAACCUGCCUAUAAGACUGGGAUAACUUCGGGAAACCGGAGCUAAUACCGGAUAAUAUAUUGAACCGCAUGGUUCAAUAGUGAAAGACGGUUUUGCUGUCACUUAUAGAUGGAUCCGCGCCGCAUUAGCUAGUUGGUAAGGUAACGGCUUACCAAGGCAACGAUGCGUAGCCGACCUGAGAGGGUGAUCGGCCACACUGGAACUGAGACACGGUCCAGACUCCUACGGGAGGCAGCAGUAGGGAAUCUUCCGCAAUGGGCGAAAGCCUGACGGAGCAACGCCACGUGAGUGAUGAAGGUCUUCGGAUCGUAAAACUCUGUUAUUAGGGAAGAACAAAUGUGUAAGUAACUAUGCACGUCUUGACGGUACCUAAUCAGAAAGCCACGGCUAACUACGUG
rnacentral:rRNA from 1 species